rnacentral:rRNA from 1 species
UACGAAGGGGGCUAGCGUUGUUCGGAAUUACUGGGCGUAAAGCGCGCGCAGGCGGUCUUCCAAGUCAGUGGUGAAAGCCCGGAGCUCAACUCCGGAAUUGCCAUUGAAACUGUUAGACUUGAGGAUGAGAGAGGUGAGUGGAAUUCCCAGUGUAGAGGUGAAAUUCGUAGAUAUUCGCAAGAACACCAGUGGCGAAGGCGGCUCACUGGCCCGUUACUGACGCUGAGGCACGAAAGCGUGGGGAGCAAACAGG